UGCAAGUCGAGGGGCAGCAUAAAAGUAGCAAUACGUUGGUGGCGACCGGCGCGACGGGUGAGUAACGCGUAUCGCAACCUACCUAUCAGGAGGGGAAUAACCCGGCGAAAGUCGGACUAAUACCGCAUAAAACAGGGGCACCGCACGGUGAUAUUUGUUAAAGAAAUUCGCUGAUAGAUGGGCAUGCGUUCCAUUAGGUAGUUGGUGAGGUAACGGCUCACCAAGCCGACGAUGGAUAGGGGAACUGAGAGGUUGGUCCCCCACACUGGUACUGAGACACGGACCAGACUCCUACGGGAGGCAGCAGUGAGGAAUAUUGGUCAAUGGGCGGGAGCCUGAACCAGCCAAGUCGCGUGGAAAAGGAAGAAGGAUCUAUGGUUCGUAAACUUCUUUUGCAGGGGAAUAAAGUGCAGGACGUGUCCUGUUUUGUAUGUACCCUGAGAAUAAGGAUCGGCUAACUCCGUGCCAGCCGCUGC
rnacentral:rRNA from 1 species